rnacentral:rRNA from 2 species
ACGGAAGGCAGCAGUGGGGAAUAUUGCACAAUGGGCGAAAGCCUGAUGCAGCGACGCCGCGUGAGUGAAGAAGUAUCUCGGUAUGUAAAGCUCUAUCAGCAGGGAAGAAAAUGACGGUACCUGACUAGGAAGCCCCGGCUAACUACGUGCCAGCAGCCGCGGUAAUACGUAGGGGGCAAGCGUUAUCCGGAUUUACUGGGUGUAAAGGGAGCGUAGACGGUUUGGCAAGUCUGAAGUGAAAUGCGGGGGCUCAACUCCUGAACUGCUUUGGAAACUGUCGAACUAGAGUGCAGGAGAGGUAAGUGGAAUUCCUAGUGUAGCGGUGAAAUGCGUAGAUAUUAGGAGGAACACCAGUGGCGAAGGCGGCUUACUGGACUGUAACUGACGUUGAGGCUCGAAAGCGUGGGGAGCAAACAGGAUUAGAUACCCUGGUA